rnacentral:rRNA from 1 species
UGGGGAAUUUGGACAAUGGGCGAAAGCCUGAUCCAGCAAUGCCGCGUGUGUGAAGAAGGCCUUCGGGUUGUAAAGCACUUUUGUCCGGAAAGAAAUCCUUGGCUCUAAUACAGUCGGGGGAUGACGGUACCGGAAGAAUAAGCACCGGCUAACUACGUGCCAGCAGCCGCGGUAAUACGUAGGGUGCAAGCGUUAAUCGGAAUUACUGGGCGUAAAGCGUGCGCAGGCGGUUUGCUAAGACCGAUGUGAAAUCCCCGGGCUCAACCUGGGAACUGCAUUGGUGACUGGCAGGCUAGAGUAUGGCAGAGGGGGGUAGAAUUCCACGUGUAGCAGUGAAAUGCGUAGAGAUGUGGAGGAAUACCGAUGGCGAAGGCAGCCCCCUGGGCCAAUACUGACGCUCAUGCACGAAAGCGUGGGGAGCAAACAGGAUUAGAUACCCUGGUAGUCCACGCCCUAAACGAUGUCAACUAGUUGUUGGGGAUUCAUUUCCUUAGUAACGUAGCUAACGCGUGAAGUUGACCGCCUGGGGAGUACGGUCGCAAGAUUAAAACUCAAAUGGAAUUGACGGGGUCAUAGCUGUUUCC